UACGGGGGGGGCAAGCGUUGUUCGGAAUUACUGGGCGUAAAGGGCUCGUAGGCGGCCAACUAAGUCCGACGUGAAAUCCCCAGGCUUAACCUGGGAACUGCGUCGGAUACUGGAUGGCUUGAAUCCGGGAGAGGGAUGCGGAAUUCCAGGUGUAGCGGUGAAAUGCGUAGAUAUCAAGCGGAACACCGGUGGCGAAGGCGGCCUUCUGGACAGUGACUGACGCUGAGACGCGAAAGCGUGGGGAGCAAACAGG
rnacentral:rRNA from 1 species